rnacentral:rRNA from 1 species
UACGGAGGGAGCUAGCGUUAUUCGGAAUUACUGGGCGUAAAGCGCACGUAGGCGGCUUUGUAAGUUAGAGGUGAAAGCCUGGAGCUCAACUCCAGAAUUGCCUUUAAGACUGCAUCGCUUGAAUCCAGGAGAGGUGAGUGGAAUUCCGAGUGUAGAGGUGAAAUUCGUAGAUAUUCGGAAGAACACCAGUGGCGAAGGCGGCUCACUGGCCCGGUACUGACGCUGAGGCACGAAAGCGUGGGGAGCAAACAGG